GACGAACGUUGGCGGCGUGCUUAAUACAUGCAAGUCCACUGAAGCAGUGGUAGCAAUAUCGCUGUGGAGGUGGCGCACGGGUGAGUAACACGUAGGUAAUCUGCCUUCAGGUCUGGCAUAACUCCGGGAAACCGGGGCUAAUAGCAGAUGAUGCAGCGGCUCGACAUCGAGACAGUUGUUAAAGCUAUGGCGCCUGAAGAUGAGCCUGCGUCUGAUUAGCUAGUUGGCGGGGUAACGGCCCACCAAGGCAACGAUCAGUAGCUGGUCUGAGAGGAUGAUCAGCCACACUGGAACAGAGACACGGUCCAGACUCCUACGGGAGGCAGAAGUAAGGAAUAUUGCUCAAUGGGAGAAAUCCUGAAGCAGCAACGCCGCGUGAGGGACGAAGGGCGUUUGCUUGUAAACCUCUGUAGUGAGAGAAAAAAAUCCCAAUCUUUGGGACAUGAUGGUAUCUCAAAAGUAAGCCCCGGCUAACUACGUG
rnacentral:rRNA from 1 species